rnacentral:rRNA from 1 species
CACCCAAAAGCUAGCCUCC